GCCUCGGUGGUUGUAGUGGUAGAGCACGCGUCUCCGGUAUGGAUGAAACGCGGGUUCAAUUCCCCCUGAGGCC